GUGUCAGCAGCCGCGGUAAUACGAAGGUGGCUAGCGUUGUUCGGUGUCACUGGGCUUAAAGCGCUCGUAGGCGGAACCGUAAGUGUCAAGUGAAAUCCCCCGGCUCAACCGGGGAAUGGCUAGGCAUACUGCGGUUCUUGAGGCAAACAGGGGUGCAUGGAACUCUUGGUGGAGCGGUGGAAUGCGUAGAUAUCAAGAGGAACGCCGAUGGUGAAGACAAUGCACUGGGUUUGUCCUGACGCUGAGGAGCGAAAGCGUGGGGAGCAAACAGGAUUAGAAACCCCAGUAGUCC
rnacentral:rRNA from 1 species